rnacentral:lncRNA from 1 species
AAUAGAUAAUUCGAGAAAAAAAAAAAUCGACAAAGGAAGGAAAGAGAAUACAGUGAUGAAAGAAGUGAUGAUAAGGGAUGAGAUUCAUCUUACUAAUAAAAAAAAUAACAGCCGAAGGAAGCGAAAGAGGAACAGUUUAGCACAAUACAGAGAUAUGAUUGAUUCCGUUCAAGCCAAAAAAAAAAAAUAAAGAAACGCAAAGAAAGAGAAAAAUAUAUAGAAAACUUGAAUCAGUUCGGAAUGAAGUUCACACCCAAUAAUAAACAGAGUGUUGUCAUGUGACAAAUUUAGAGAAAAUAAUAUACAGAUAUAGAUACACUACAUGCAACAAUUU